AGUCAUAUCACGUUGAAACACCGCUUCUAGUACGAUCACUGACGUUAAGCAACGUCUAGCCUGGUCACUACAUAGAUGGGUGACCGCUUGUGAAUACCGUGUGCUGUAAG